rnacentral:rRNA from 1 species
UCUCACUAACAGGUGGACAAUUUGCCCUAAGGUGAGGGAUAACUAAGGGAUACUGGAGAUCCUACCUCAUCGUUUACCAUCGCUGGAAUGCCUGGUAAGCCAGGGGUCCGUCGCCACAGGAUGGGUCUGCGGCCGAUUAGGUAGUUGUUGGGGUAACGGCCCAACAAGCCUGUAAUCGGUUCGGGUUGUGGGAGCAAGAGCCCGGAGAUGGAUUCUGAGACACGAAUCCAGGCCCUACGGGGCGCAGCAGGCGCGAAAACCUUACAAUGCAGGCAACUGUGAUAAGGGAACCCCGAGUGCCCGUAUGGACGGGCUGUUCACCUGCUUAAAAACCACCUGGAGACCGGGCCGGGCAAGACCGGUGCCAGCCGCCGCGGUAAUACCGGCGGCUCGAGUGGUGGCCACUAUUACUGGGCUUAAAGCGUCCGUAGCUUGGUCGUUAAGCCUCUGUUGAAAUCUUCCGGCUUAACCGGAAGGCGUCUCAGCCGAACUGGCGACCUAGGGAUCGGGAGAGGUGAGAGGUACUCUGGGGGUAGGAGUGAAAUCCUGUAAUCCUCAGGGGACCACCUGUGCCGAAGGCGUCUCACCAGAACGACUCCGACAGUGAGGGACGAAAGCUGGGGGAGCAAACCGGAUUAGAUACCCGGGUAGUCCCAGCCGCAAACGAUGCGCGUUAGGUGUAUCGGUGACCACGAGUUACCGAGGUGCCGAAGGGAAACCGUGAAACGCGCCGCCUGGGAAGUACGGUCGCAAGGCUGAAACUUAAAGGAAUUGGCGGGGGAGCAUCACAACGGGUGGAGUUUGCGGUUUAAUUGGACUCAACGCCGGACAGCUCACUCA